rnacentral:misc_RNA from 1 species
UGGUUCUGGCAUCGAUGAAGAACGCAGCGAAAUGCGAUAAGUAAUGUGAAUUGCAGAAUUCAGUGAAUCAUCGAAUCUUUGAACGCACAUUGCGCCCUUUGGUAUUCCGAAGGGCAUGCCCGUUCGAGCGUUAUUAAACCCAAUCAAGCCUGGCUUGGUGUUGGGUCCCGGGGGCGACCCGGACCCCAAUAUCCCGCCGGCCGAUCGGCCCGUACCCCAGCGUUGUGGCACAUCCGUGGUCCGCUGAGGGGAGGGGGCGAGCGCGCCGUCAUCUUUUUCAAUCAAAGGUUAACCUCGGAUCGGGUAGGGAUACCCGCUGA